UGAUCGCGCCAUUUUGGUGAGGAAAGUCCGGGCUUCAUAGGGCAGGGUGCCGGAUAACGUCCGGUGGAGGAGACUCUAAGGCUAGUGCAACAGAAAAUAAACCGCCUAUCGUUAUGAUAGGUAAGGGUGGAAUGGCGGUGUAAGAGACCACCGCUUUCCUGGUAACAGGAAAGGCUGUGUAAACCCCACUCGAAGCAAGACCAAACGUGUAUGAGCUUAUGCUCAUACGGGGAGCGAUACGGCGGCCCGUCGUGCUCCUAGGUAGGUCGCGUUUUGAGAAUAGCUACUCUAGUGGCGAAAAAAUUCGCUGUUAGCGUAGCUAUUCUCAAAGGAGCUGUAUGGCGACAUACAGUCAAGAUAGAUGAUCAUCUGAUACAGAACCCGGCUUAUAGUACUACUCA
rnacentral:RNase_P_RNA from 1 species